CAGAUUCUGCCUUGGUUACUAACGAUAUUGGCUUGUUGUGGGAUAGGCAUGGAACUCACACCAGUGACAGUGCAAGACGAAGCCACCUCAAGUUCUGUGGGAGGUGCCUAGAAAAUUUCUCUCUGCCCCUUUACCUUCAGGGAGGAAGCAGGUAGAUCUGCUAGCGACUUGUGAGACUGAGGGAGGCAGGCUUAGGACGAAGCUGACCCUCAGAAGGGUGGAGAAGAGUGAUGGAGAAGAGUGAUGCUUUCUGAUUAUAGUGACCUGCUAUACACAAACCCGAGGCUAAAGAGUCCCUCUAGGCUGAACCAAGGAGCAAGAACUUUUGAUUAAAUGGGAAAUGGUGUGCAGCUGUGAAUUCAUUGCUCUCAUAGGCAGUGUGAUGGUGGUGCUGGAGAGAACAUGAAAGUAGAAGAAAUGCUAUUAGAGAAGAAGAUAGAGGUCAGGAAGAGAAAAAAGGAGGACUGAGAUGAUUAAUGAUAUGUGAUGUGUAAGGAGAUAAAAUGAGUGAGAGAUGAAAUUGGUAAGAUGAUUGAAGAUGUCAGUUUCAGAGCCUGCCAGCCUUGCUACUAAAGCUAAUUAUUUUGCAGUGUGCAAAUAACAUGAUGAGGCAGAGGCACAGUGCAGAGAAGAUGGAAAGGCAUCUCAGAAAAUUGCCUUUUUUUAUCAAGUGCUACUUGGAAAAGCAGCGCAACUGCACUAAGUGAGAGAAGACCAGCAGGGAAGCAAGCUGAUGGUUCUUCCUGUCCUGGAGAAAUUUAGCAAGGAAGGAUUCUGACACCGCUUCCCAGCUUGGAGAAACUUGAUAGUUUUCAGCAUGUUUAUGUGAUUGCUUAAGGCAAACGACUAUAACACAUUUGGAUAUUUGACAUUCCAUAUUUGGCAGUUUGGUGAGACAGAUAUUUUAAAUAAUCAUACCUUAUUUCGCCCAUAUCUUUCUUAUUAAUAUUGUCCACAUUUUAAUGUAAUUCGAGCACAAUUAAUGGAUGAUUAAGCUCUAUUUCAGACCACAGUUGGGCCAUUUUGGAUGUCUUAAGAGAUUUGUUGAAGGUUUUUAUAGCAAGACAGAGAUUCUGGACAUUCUGGACAAGGAUGCACUGAUUCCACAUUGUGUUUGAGUUGCACAGUAAAUCCCACAGCAGGAAAAAAAGAUGAAGCCUUCAUUUUCAGGACAAGCUAGCUAAUUAAUAAUAAUUCCCAAACAGCUUGGGAUUGCAUGUCAGCUACCGCAUGGACAUAAAAAAAAUCCCAUGAUGUAAAUGCUUUAUGUUGUGAGAGGAAAAGUUUAGCAAAAAUAUACUUAGCAUAUUGGUAUCUUUUUCUUUGAGGAAAAUUUGUUGUUAGGACUCUUAUCCACUGACCAUUAUAGAAAAAAUGUUAAUGAACAAACACUUCUCAAGGGUGUAAAGUUUGACCACGCUUUAAAAAAGUCUAUAAAAGUAUUUGAAAAUUUUAAUUCCUUUUUUGGUCCCCAAAUAAAAAUCAAAACCAAAACCAAAAAAUAGUCCCAAAAGACUUUUAUUAAACAAGGAGAAGACAAUAAAGGGGAGAACGGAGGGAACUUAGGGAGAAUAAUAGGUAGGAAGGAUGUGAUCAAAAUGUUAUAUGUGUGCCUGAAAAUGAGACCUAGUAGCUUGUAAAAUUAAUACACACUAAGAAAGACCUAGUAGCUUGUAAAAUUAAUACACACGCUGUUCUGAACUGUUCGCAAUCUCACUGUUUGAAUGUCCACUUUGUAUGCUUUAAUUUUGUAACUUGAACAACUAUUUCUAAGAUGACAAUAUGUAACCUAUUAACUAGUGAUUUCUUACUGUUUAUUUUUUUGAAAUUCUGUAUUACUUGUA